AGCUGCUGCAUUUAACAGGAAAAUCCAUGUUACAGUCUGGAGGAACUUUUGGAACAUUUAUGGCUGUUGGAACAGGAAUUCGGUGUUAAAGUGUGAUAUUAACUGUGAACAGAAAAUCAAUUGUUUAAUGAACACAUUAUACCCUAGAUUUAAAGAUAUCAUUUAAACUGAUGUCUUUAAAUUUUUUACAUUUAUCACAGCUAUGGUUAAGCAGUGCAUUGACUACAAGAAAGUUGUGGAUAAAUCCAUGCAUAUAAAAACUUAAUUAGUUUUCUUAUGUGACCAUAUCUGUGCACUUGAACAUUAAUAACUGUGAAUAAAUUUCUAUUUACAAUGUUAUCCUGUGUUUUCUGUUUGUUUGUUUUUUUUUGCUAAGUUCCUAUUACCUGGUCUAAUAUUUACAAUACAAUGCCAGUGAUUUAUUUUAAUAUACUUUUGAUUUGUUUGUUAUGUAUGUACAUGUACUGUACAUUUCAUACAAUAUAAAUAAAUUAUAUUCUUUU
rnacentral:misc_RNA from 1 species